AUUGAACGCUGGCGGCAGGCCUAACACAUGCAGGUCGAGCGGAUGAAGGGAGCUUGCUCCUGGAUUCAGCGGCGGACGGGUGAGUAAUGCCUAGGAAUCUGCCUGGUAGUGGGGGGUAACGUCCGGAAACGGGCGCUAAUACCGCAUACGUCCUGAGGGAGAAAGUGGGGGAUCUUCGGACCUCACGCUAUCAGAUGAGCCUAGGUCGGAUUAGCUAGUUGGUGGGGUAAAGGCCUACCAAGGCGACGAUCCGUAACUGGUCUGAGAGGAUGACCAGUCACACUGGAACUGAGACACGGUCCAGACUCCUACGGGAGGCAGCAGUGGGGAAUAUUGGACAAUGGGCGAAAGCCUGAUCCAGCCAUGCCGCGUGUGUGAAGAAGGUCUUCGGAUUGUAAAGCACUUUAAGUUGGGAGGAAGGGCAGUAAGUUAAUACCUUGCUGUUUUGACGUUACCAACAGAAUAAGCACCGGCUAACUUCGUG
rnacentral:rRNA from 1 species